GCACGGUGGAUGCCUUGGCACUAGAAGCCGAUGAAGGACGUUACUAACGACGAUAUGCUUUGGGGAGCUGUAAGUAAGCUUUGAUCCAGAGAUUUCCGAAUGGGGAAACCCAGCAUGAGUUAUGUCAUGUUAUCGAUAUGUGAAUACAUAGCAUAUCAGAAGGCACACCCGGAGAACUGAAACAUCUUAGUACCCGGAGGAAGAGAAAGAAAAUUCGAUUCCCUUAGUAGCGGCGAGCGAAACGGGAAGAGCCCAAACCAACAAGCUUGCUUGUUGGGGUUGUAGGACACUCUAUACGGAGUUACAAAGGACGACAUUAGACGAAUCAUCUGGAAAGAUGAAUCAAAGAAGGUAAUAAUCCUGUAGUCGAAAAUGUUGUCUCUCUUGAGUGGAUCCUGAGUACGACGGAGCACGUGAAAUUCCGUCGGAAUCUGGGAGGACCAUCUCCUAAGGCUAAAUACUCUCUAGUGACCGAUAGUGAACCAGUACCGUGAGGGAAAGGUGAAAAGCACCCCGGAAGGGGAGUGAAAUAGAACCUGAAACCGUGUGCUUACAAGUAGUCAGAGCCCGUUAAUGGGUGAUGGCGUGCCUUUUGUAGAAUGAACCGGCGAGUUACGAUUUGAUGCAAGGUUAAGCAGUAAAUGUGGAGCCGUAGCGAAAGCGAGUCUGAAUAGGGCGUUUAGUAUUUGGUCGUAGACCCGAAACCAGGUGAUCUACCCUUGGUCAGGUUGAAGUUCAGGUAACACUGAAUGGAGGACCGAACCGACUUACGUUGAAAAGUGAGCGGAUGAACUGAGGGUAGCGGAGAAAUUCCAAUCGAACCUGGAGAUAGCUGGUUCUCUCCGAAAUAGCUUUAGGGCUAGCCUCAAGUGAUGAUUAUUGGAGGUAGAGCACUGUUUGGACGAGGGGCCCCUCUCGGGUUACCGAAUUCAGACAAACUCCGAAUGCCAAUUAAUUUAACUUGGGAGUCAGAACAUGGGUGAUAAGGUCCGUGUUCGAAAGGGAAACAGCCCAGACCACCAGCUAAGGUCCCAAAAUAUAUGUUAAGUGGAAAAGGAUGUGGCGUUGCCCAGACAACUAGGAUGUUGGCUUAGAAGCAGCCAUCAUUUAAAGAGUGCGUAAUAGCUCACUAGUCGAGUGACACUGCGCCGAAAAUGUACCGGGGCUAAACAUAUUACCGAAGCUGUGGAUUGUCCUUUGGACAAUGGUAGGAGAGCGUUCUAAGGGCGUUGAAGCAUGAUCGUAAGGACAUGUGGAGCGCUUAGAAGUGAGAAUGCCGGUGUGAGUAGCGAAAGACGGGUGAGAAUCCCGUCCACCGAUUGACUAAGGUUUCCAGAGGAAGGCUCGUCCGCUCUGGGUUAGUCGGGUCCUAAGCUGAGGCCGACAGGCGUAGGCGAUGGAUAACAGGUUGAUAUUCCUGUACCACCUAUAAUCGUUUUAAUCGAUGGGGGGACGCAGUAGGAUAGGCGAAGCGUGCGAUUGGAUUGCACGUCUAAGCAGUAAGGCUGAGUAUUAGGCAAAUCCGGUACUCGUUAAGGCUGAGCUGUGAUGGGGAGAAGACAUUGAGUCUUCGAGUCGUUGAUUUCACACUGCCGAGAAAAGCCUCUAGAUAGAAAAUAGGUGCCCGUACCGCAAACCGACACAGGUAGUCAAGAUGAGAAUUCUAAGGUGAGCGAGCGAACUCUCGUUAAGGAACUCGGCAAAAUGACCCCGUAACUUCGGGAGAAGGGGUGCUCUUUAGGGUUAACGCCCAGAAGAGCCGCAGUGAAUAGGCCCAAGCGACUGUUUAUCAAAAACACAGGUCUCUGCUAAACCGUAAGGUGAUGUAUAGGGGCUGACGCCUGCCCGGUGCUGGAAGGUUAAGAGGAGUGGUUAGCUUCUGCGAAGCUACGAAUCGAAGCCCCAGUAAACGGCGGCCGUAACUAUAACGGUCCUAAGGUAGCGAAAUUCCUUGUCGGGUAAGUUCCGACCCGCACGAAAGGCGUAACGAUUUGGGCACUGUCUCAACGAGAGACUCGGUGAAAUCAUAGUACCUGUGAAGAUGCAGGUUACCCGCGACAGGACGGAAAGACCCCGUGGAGCUUUACUGUAGCCUGAUAUUGAAAUUCGGCACAGCUUGUACAGGAUAGGUAGGAGCCUUUGAAACGUGAGCGCUAGCUUACGUGGAGGCGCUGGUGGGAUACUACCCUAGCUGUGUUGGCUUUCUAACCCGCACCACUUAUCGUGGUGGGAGACAGUGUCAGGCGGGCAGUUUGACUGGGGCGGUCGCCUCCUAAAAGGUAACGGAGGCGCUCAAAGGUUCCCUCAGAAUGGUUGGAAAUCAUUCAUAGAGUGUAAAGGCAUAAGGGAGCUUGACUGCGAGACCUACAAGUCGAGCAGGGUCGAAAGACGGACUUAGUGAUCCGGUGGUUCCGCAUGGAAGGGCCAUCGCUCAACGGAUAAAAGCUACCCCGGGGAUAACAGGCUUAUCUCCCCCAAGAGUUCACAUCGACGGGGAGGUUUGGCACCUCGAUGUCGGCUCAUCGCAUCCUGGGGCUGUAGUCGGUCCCAAGGGUUGGGCUGUUCGCCCAUUAAAGCGGUACGCGAGCUGGGUUCAGAACGUCGUGAGACAGUUCGGUCCCUAUCCGUCGUGGGCGUAGGAAAUUUGAGAGGAGCUGUCCUUAGUACGAGAGGACCGGGAUGGACAUACCUCUGGUGUACCAGUUGUCGUGCCAACGGCAUAGCUGGGUAGCUAUGUGUGGACGGGAUAAGUGCUGAAAGCAUCUAAGCAUGAAGCCCCCCUCAAGAUGAGAUUUCCCAACUUCGGUUAUAAGAUCCCUCAAAGAUGAUGAGGUUAAUAGGUUCGAGGUGGAAGCAUGGUGACAUGUGGAGCUGACGAAUACUAAUCGAUCGAAGACUUAAUCAA
rnacentral:rRNA from 1 species